UACGUAGGGGGCAAGCGUUGUCCGGAAUCAUUGGGCGUAAAGGGUGCGCAGGCGGUUCUGCAAGUCAGGCGUGAAAGCCCCGGGCUUAACCUGGGAAUGGCGCUUGAAACUACAGGACUGGAGUAUGGCAGAGGGAGGUGGAAUUCCACGUGUAGCGGUGAAAUGCGUAGAGAUGUGGAGGAACACCGAUGGCGAAGGCAGCCUCCUGGGCCAAUACUGACGCUCAUGCACGAAAGCGUGGGGAGCAAACAGGAUUGAGAA
rnacentral:rRNA from 1 species